UGAUUUUAACUGAUUUUAACUGAUUCUGAUUGUUUUGACUGAUUAAGUAGCUGCUGAGGACAUUUUCUCUACAUUGUGAGCUGCAUGUCAAAACUCCAAAUGCUGAAAUCGUUGGUGAAACAGCGACUCGACGCGGCCGCUGAGGAGAUAUUUGGCCUGUUUGAAAGAACAAUAGCAGAAUAUGAAAUAUCUCGUUUAAGAGAAAGUGAGCGACAACACAAACUGCUGGAUGCUGUUUUCAGCCCAACAUGUCAGGUACACAGAUCAGGUCAUCCUUGAGUCUCCUGGAGCAGUAGGCUACAGUUUCCAGUCCUCACCAUGCUGCUGCAGCAGGACUCCUCCAAGUCUGUACUGGUGUCAGCUGAUAGCACUGAGAAAAGAAGACGAGGACAGAAGCUGAUGCUAAAGCAGUCUUCAAUCUCCGUGCAUGUCCACACAGCCAUUCCACCUUCCCCUUCAGCAGUUCAGAGAGCAGUUGUCUCAAACUAGAGGUAUAAGUGGCAGUGGUUUUCUGGCCCUGGAGCUGUGGAGUCUGGAUCUGUGGUUGCGGGUCACCUGCUGCCCCCGUGUUCCUGCUCGACACCCUCUGCUACAGUUAUUAUUAUCUGUCUGAUCAUUAUUAUCAUUAGUAGUGUUAUUAUUAGUGCUGUUAUUCAUUUGUAUUGAUGUCAGUAUCACUACCACCUUUACUGUUGUUUUGGUUUUCAGUUUUUACUCGUCAGUAGUAGACGUAAAUACGUGUUUGCAGAUUGAACAACCAUUAUAAAUGUUUUAGCUUUAAGAUUGUCACUGUUAAUAUAAUAUUUUAAAUGCUUUUUGGAGAUUCUGCAAAGGCACUAAUUGGGCACUAAUGUCCAAUCAAAAUUAAAAGCUGCUUCUGUGGAAAGGCUCUUAUGUUAAUUAACUUAUACUCACCUUAUAAACUAUUUAGUACAGGUAAGGUUUAGACCACUCAGAUGGUUCAGACAUCUGGUCCGGCCCACGGACUCUGUGGGUGGAGUCACCAUAAUAUAAAGGAGCAGGUCUCUCUGUUUACAGACAGACUUGGAGGAGACACCAGCGAGCUGCUGACCUGAAACAUUCACAGGAACAGGGUGUGUUUCUACAGUUUGGACUCUGUGGAGCUCUGUCACGUCUCCGGCUGCUGUGAAAACUCUCCCAUCAGAGCGCUGACUGACUGACUGACCUUCUGUAACACUGCCACCUGCUGCUGACUGGCUUUCUGCUCUCACAUCAUCCUGACGUUUGGAUCUGAAGGAAAACACAGGAAAAUCAGCACUUAACUGCUGAAACGAAAAUGGGAAACGAAGUAGCAGCGGGCUUGUCACUGCCAGGCCUUGGCCCACCGAGAGAAAGUAUGAUGGGCGACGGCCUGAGAUGCUGCAAGUGUGGUAAAGUCCUGCCUCCGUGCGUAUCCUGGAAUGAUUUAUGCAAAACUCAAGUUCGAGGGCGGAACGUGUUUCAGUUCAAUAGAGGCCAAUACUACAGACCAGUUGAACGGUAUUUGUACGAGUGUAGAGCGUGCUUUGAUCAAAGUUAACUAGUGUAGAGGAGACAACGCUGAGAGAAAGGAGAGAGGAGAGAGAGCUGGAAAGAUUUGAAAAUCCCCUAAUAAAAAUUUCCCCCCCCCCUCAAAGAUCAUAAGCCCCCCGUAUGUCUCUAAAGGCCUGCAUAUUGUCCGGUAUCCCAUAAGCAUGCCGGCCCUCUGGGCCCGGUUCCUAUGCAUAUCAGCCAGAGGGCCAACUUGGCAGAACCAGAUAAAAAAAUCCCCAAAGAGUGUACAAACUUGUUCUUAGCUCUGUAUUUCAGCCCAAAAAACACGCAGAAAGAAAAACCCUCCCCGGGACCCUGAAACCCCCGUUUUAAAAGCCAAACUAGUUCAGAAUACACUGAACCAAUUAAUGUACCAGGGUCUCAAUCUGAGAACUUAUAAUACACUCUGGAUCCAGGUCUGCUCUGUACCUGUUCGAAGCUGUUGGUCCGUGUGCAACCCUCCGCUGGAGGUCUGACAUCUGCUUUUCAGUGGGGAGCUUGUACAGAGACCACCAGCUGUCUUACAGGGAAACAUCUGGACCAAAAAAAAUUAGGAGAGAGAGGAGAAGAUCAUCUAACAACAUCUAAACAGCAAAGAAACCCACUCAGAAUCCACUGAGAUGCUCCUCAGACAUGUGCGAACAAACCAAUGGACUCUGCAUAUUUCUGUGACAGUGCUUUGAGCAGAGGAUGUUUCAAUAUCUGAAGUCCUUAAGUUGGUGCAAGUGGACGGAUGAGUCCAUGAGAGCAGUCUACCUGCAGCUCUAGCAGAAGUAAAGAUGUUGUGGAAUUUGGAGGAUUCAUUGAUUUGAUAUAACUGAGAAUAAUGCUGGGAAAAUAGGUAAUUAUUUCAUAAUAAGAUGAUGAAAAAUGAUGUAAUAAUAGGAAAUGAUGUCAUGCAGGGAAAUGAUUGGGGGAAAUAUUAGAGGAAAAAGCUUGAGAUGUGCCUCAGACAUGGAUGAUUAGUUGCUGAGCUGCUGAUUGGAUGAAGAGAAUAGAGGCGGGGCUCAGAGAGGGUGAAACAGAGCUGAUCAAAUCCCAGACACAGUUUGGAUGGCAGGAAUGCUCUUAACAAAGAUCCGUUCACUUGGUGAAUUCUUCCACCAUAAAGUGAUCUUGCUACCUUCAGAUCCACCAGGUUGCAUCCAGUUCUCAUUUUCCUAAAUCCUGUUUGUGUCUGAGCCCCUGCUCUGUGUCUACAGCAGCUCAUGCUUUGUCUUACAGAUGCUGUCAAAUGUUUGAUUCAGGGAUUCAGUGUAACUACAAGUGCUACAGCUUUAUUAAAGGGCGCUUAAAAGAGAUGAUUUUGGGGAUAACAAUGAACUAUGUACUUGCCAUAUAUUCUGUGUUACUUUGCAUAAUGUUAAUAAAUCUUUAAUGGUG